CAAUAGCGUAUAUUGAAGUUGUUGCGGUUAAAAAGCUCGUCGUUGGAUUUCUGUUGAGGUCGAACAGUGCCGCCCUAUGGGUGCGCAACUGGCUCGGCUUCGGCAUCUUCUUGGAGAGCGCAUCUGUACUUAACUGUGUGGAUCGUACUUCAAGUCAGUUACUUUGAGGAAUUGUGAGUGUUUCAAGCAGGCUUACGCCGUUGAAUCCGUUAGCAUGGAAUAAUAGGAUAGGACCUCGGUUCUAUUUUGUUGGUUUUGAGAGCUGGGGCAGCGAUUGAUAGGGACGGAUGGGGGCGUCCGAACUUUACUGUCAGAGGUGAAAUUCUUAGAUCGGUCAAAGGCGAACUACUGCGAACGCAUUCGCCAAGAAUGUUUUCUUUAA
rnacentral:rRNA from 1 species